CAUCAACACAGUACAGAGCCGGCUCCUAGUACACUUCCCUGCCCCCACAACUCCCCACCCAAGUGCUGAGUCAUAUCUGACUGUGCAGGCAGAAUACUUUUCGCACCAGCCACAUCAAAACUUUAAAGACUCGUUUACUUUUAAGUGUACUGCACGGAUUCGUCUUCAAGCAAAAAUAUAUGAGCUACACACAGCUACAUUUUAUGACUGAUAAUAGCAGAUGUGUGGGCGUGUACAUGUUCAUAUAUAAUUUCAGCUGUUUCUCUGACAUUUUGUGCAAACAAAUCAAACGCUCACCAAAACUAGUUGAAAGUUUUAUUUUUAUAAAAUUAACAUAAAAGAUUGUUUAAAAAUCUGCAGUUAUUUACAGCAGUAUUGCACAAGUAAAGUGGCAAUUACCCUGUCAAAAUUCAUCAGUGCAAAACACAAGUAAGCCAGGGAAACUGCAAUACAAAUGCUACAUACGCUGGGUCCUAGAAAACAGGUUAGUGAUGGAUCAGUAUACAGCCAGAUCAGUGCUAUUUAUAAGUGGGUACCUGAUGAGUUCUGAUACAGUAACUAGUGGUCACAGAAUCUGGACAUAAAACAUAAGAGAGCUUCUAUAGUCUGAAAUUCCCAAAUAAAAGUAGUCAAGUUACUUAACUGGGAGCUUGAGGAUGCUUCUUACACACAAUGCUGUUUAGAGUAGACCCCAACUGAUUUAGCGUCAUCUGUAGACACGUUUCCCCCACCCCACGUGUACGUGAGUGGACACACACAGGCACCAGGCUAAAUCAGCAGGGAUGGCAGAACCACCUGCAUGGAACCACCAUGAAGUCUCCUUAAAGCUCCCAUAAGCUUUCACAUCUUGACACCCAGUCCAGUGGGGCCCCAACCUCCCCUGAAGGAGAUGGAGUAUCAGAAGGAGGGCAUCGACCUGAAGAAGCAGGCUGACCAAAUGCAGUGACCGUAUGGGUGGGGCGUGGGGAGGGCUGUACAGUUAAUUAGCUCCUGAAGACAAGUUAGUCCAACCUCAAAGCACAGGAAGUUGCACAGCAGGUGGGGGAAAACCCAGCUACUCACAGUUGUCCACAAGGGGUUAGUGGCCUGAGGUGGACCACGUGGUCUGCAAUGAGCUCUCCAGUCACCCCCGACAACUCUCAGGAGUUAACUUCAUGGGACGGCAGGGGAGUGGGAGACAGGGAUGUUAAUACUUUUCAGAAAUUAAGACAUUAAAUAAGCAGAAAAUAAAUAUACAAUAUUUCUACAAGUUACAGCAUUAUGAAACAGUAGGACACAUCACACAGAAAAAGAAUCUACAAUAUUUACAAUCCUUGAUUUUGAAAAAGUUGAGAAAAACAGUGAUUUUUUUACUUAUUUAUGCUGUACAAAAUUUUACAAGGUAAAGGA
rnacentral:lncRNA from 1 species